AGAUUGCGUCAGUAGCGGCGAGCGAAAGCGCAAGAGGGCAAACCCAGUGCUUGCACUGGGGGUUGUAGGACUGCAAUGUGCAAGAGCUGAGUUUAGCAGAACAUUCUGGAAAGUAUAGCCAUAGAGGGUGAUAGUCCCGUAUGCGAAAAACAAAGCUUAGCUAGCAGUAUCCUGAGUAGGGCGGGACACGAGGAAUCCUGUCUGAAUCCGGGUCGACCACGAUCCAACCCUAAAUACUAAUACCAGAUCGAUAGUGCACAAGUACCGUGAGGGAAAGGUGAAAAGAACUGAGGUGAUCAGAGUGAAAUAGAACCUGAAACCAUUUGCUUACAAUCAUUCAGAGCACUAUGUAGCAAUACAGUGUGAUGGACUGCCUUUUGCAUAAUGAGCCUGCGAGUUGUGGUGUCUGGCAAGGUUAAGCAAACGCGAAGCCGUAGCGAAAGCGAGUCUGAAUAGGGCGCUUAGUCAGAUGCUGCAGACCCGAAACGAAGUGAUCUAUCCAUGAGCAAGUUGAAGCUAGUGUAAGAACUAGUGGAGGACUGAACCCAUAGGCGUUGAAAAGCCCCGGGAUGACUUGUGGAUAGGGGUGAAAGGCCAAUCAAACUUCGUGAUAGCUGGUUCUCUCCGAAAUAUAUUUAGGUAUAGCGUUGUGUCGUAAUAUAAGGGGGUAGAGCACUGAAUGGGCUAGGGCAUACACCAAUGUACCAAACCCUAUCAAACUCCGAAUACCUUAUAUGUAAUCACAGCAGUCAGGCGGCGAGUGAUAAAAUCCGUCGUCAAGAGGGAAACAACCCAGACUACCAGCUAAGGUCCCUAAGUCUUACUUAAGUGGAAAACGAUGUGAAGUUACUUAAACAACCAGGAGGUUGGCUUAGAAGCAGCCAUCCUUUAAAGAAAGCGUAAUAGCUCACUGGUCUAGUGAUUUUGCGCGGAAAAUAUAACGGGGCUAAAGUAAGUACCGAAGCUGUAGACUUGCGCACAA
rnacentral:rRNA from 1 species